rnacentral:rRNA from 1 species
CGGCAGGUUAAGGCCUUACGGGCUGUAGCCAGAGGGAAACCGAGUCUUAAUAGGGCGAAAUUGUCGCGGGCGGUAGACGCGAAACCUAGUGAUCUACCCAUGAGCAGGUUGAAGCGCGGGUCAUACCGCGUGGAGGACCGAACCCACUUGGGUUGAAAACCGAGGGGAUGACUUGUGGGGAGGAGUGAAAGUCUAAUCAAACGUGGAGAUAUCUCGUUCUCUCCGAAAUGCCUUUAGGGGCAGCGUCGAGCCACUAUCUACCGGGGGUAGAGAGACUGAUUUGGUUUGGGGCCCUUCGCGGGGUACCCUGCUGAACCAAACUCCGAAUACCGGUAGAACUAUCUCGGCAGUGAGUCCGCGGGGGAUAAGCUCCGCGGUCGAGAGGGAAACAACCCAGACCGCCUGCUAAGGUCCCAAAGUCUUGCUAAGUCACUAAGGAUGUUAAGAUACUGUGACAGCCAGGAUGUUGGCUUAGAAGCAGCCAUCAUUUAAAAAGUGCGUAAUAGCUUACUGGUCGAGUGUUUUAGCACCGAUAAUGAACGGGAGUAAGCAAGACACCGAAGCAGCGGAUUCAGCUCACGCUGAGUGGUAGGAGAGCGUUCCAGCACAGAUACAAGCCGUACCGAAAGGAGCGGUGUCGGGUGCUGGAAGUGAUUAUGCCGGAAUGAGUAACGAUAAAACAGGUGAGAAUCCUGUUCGCCGCAAACCUAAGGUUUCCUGGGGAAGGUAAUUCCGCCCAGGGUUAGCCGGUACCUUAGUUGAGGCCGAAAGGCGUAGACGAUGGAGAGCAGGUUAAUAUUCCUGCGCCGGAUAUGUGGACCGAUGGGGGGACGUUGUGUAGAUUGUGAUCGGGCUGACAGAAAUGCCCGUAGGGGAAGACAAGGUCGUGGAUAGGAAAAUCCGCCACAUCAGACCAAGGCUUUCACUCGAGUCCAAUGAUGACGAAGUCAUAUGACGCAUAACCAAGAAAAGCCUCUAAGGAUUGAAGCAUAUCUGACCGUACUAAAACUGACACAGGUAGGUGAGGCGCGUAGCCUAAGGCGCUCGAGAAAACGCUGGUUAAGGAACUCUGCAAAUUGACCCCGUAAGUUAGCGAUAAGGGGUGCCUCCGACGGUUCACGCUGUUGGAGGCCACAGAAAAUCGGCUCUGGCGACUGUUUACUAAAAACACAGGACUCUGCGAACUCGUAAGAGGAUGUAUAGAGUCUGACUCCUGCUCGGUGCCGGUAAGUUAAGGAAGAGGGUUAGCCUUCGGGCGAAGCUCGCAACCGAAGCUCCGGUAAACGGCGGCCGUAACUAUGACGGUCCUAAGGUAGCGAAGUUCCUUGUCGGGUAAGUUCCGACCUGCAUGAAAGGCG